UACGUAGGGUGCAAGCGUUGUCCGGAAUUAUUGGGCGUAAAGAGCUUGUAGGCGGUUUGUCGCGUCUGCUGUGAAAUUUCGGGGCUCAACCCCCGAACUUGCAGUGGGUACGGGCAGACUAGAGUGUGGUAGGGGAGACUGGAAUUCCUGGUGUAGCGGUGAAAUGCGCAGAUAUCAGGAGGAACACCGGUGGCGAAGGCGGAUCUCUGGGCCAUUACUGACGCUGAGGAGCGAAAGCGUGGGGGAGCGAACAGG
rnacentral:rRNA from 1 species